AGUAAAAGUCGUAACAAGGUUUCCGUAGGUGAACUUGCGGAAGGAUCAUUAUCGAGUUUUGAAAUGGGUUGUAGCUGGCCUUCCGAGGCAUGUGCACGCCCUGCUCAUCCACUCUACACCUGUGCACUUACUGUAAGUCUUUCGAGUUUGAAGGGAGGUGUCUCGCGACGCCUUCGGAUUUCUCGAGGGGCUUACGUCUACUACAAACUAUUAAAAAGUAUUAGAAUGUCUAUUGCUAUAAACGCAUCUAUAUACAACUUUCAGCAACGGAUCUCUUGGCUCUCGCAUCGAUGAAGAACGCAGCGAAAUGCGAUAAGUAAUGUGAAUUGCAGAAUUCAGUGAAUCAUCGAAUCUUUGAACGCACCUUGCGCUCCUUGGUAUUCCGAGGAGCAUGCCUGUUUGAGUGUCAUGAAAUUCUCAACCUACAAACCUUUGCGGGUUCUGUACGUGUUGGAUAUGGAGGAUUAUUGUCGGCGCGAGUCGGCUCCUCUUAAAUGCAUUAGCUUGAUUUCUUGCGGAUCGGCUCUCAGUGUGAUAAUUGUCUACGCUGCGACCGUGAAGUGCUAUGGCGAGCUUCCAAUCGUCUCUAACGGGACAUUGACUUUGACAUCUGACCUCAAAUCAGGUAGGACUACCCGCUGAACUUAAGCAUAUCAAUAAGCGGAGGA
rnacentral:rRNA from 1 species